rnacentral:rRNA from 2 species
UUGACCUCGGAUCAGGUAGGAAUACCCGCUGAACUUAAGCAUAUCAAUAAGCGGAGGAAAAGAAACCAACAGGGAUUGCCUCAGUAACGGCGAGUGAAGCGGCAACAGCUCAAAUUUGAAAUCUGGCCUCACGGUCCGAGUUGUAAUUUGUAGAGGAUGUUUUGGGCACCGCCCCGGGUUAAAUUUCUUGGAACAGAAUGUCAAAGAGGGUGAGAGUCCCGUCUUGGCCCGCGGUAGGACCUGUGUAAAACUCCUUCGACGAGUCGACUUGUUUGGGAAUGCAGGUCAAAAUGGGUGGUAAAUUUCAUCUAAAGCUAAAUAUUGGCCAGAGACCGAUAGCGCACAAGUAGAGUGAUCGAAAGAUGAAAAGCACUUUGAAAAGAGAGUUAAACAGUAUGUGAAAUUGUUGAAAGGGAAGCGCUGGCAACCAGACUCGAGCGCGGUGUUCCCCCUUGCUUCUGCCUGGGUUAUUUCACCGUGACCGGGCCAUCAUCAGUUUUGGGGGUUGGUUAAAGAUUCGGGGAAUGUAUCCUCUCCUUCGGGGGAGGACUUAUAGCCCCGGAUGUCAUGCAGCCUCCCGGGACUGAGGAACGCGCUUCGGCGAGGAUGAUGGCGUAAUGGUUGUCAGCGACCCGUCUUGAAACACGGACCAAGGAGUCUAACAUCUAUGCGAGUGUUCGGGUGUCAAACCCUUGCGCGGAAUGAAAGUGAACGGAGGUAGGAAGGCUUGAGCCUGCACUAUCGACCGAUCCUGAUGUCUUCGGAUGGAUUUGAGUAAGAGCAUAGCUGUUGGGACCCGAAAGAUGGUGAACUAUGCGUGAAUAGGGUGAAGCCAGAGGAAACUCUGGUGGAGGCUCGCAGCGGUUCUGACGUGCAAAUCGAUCGUCAAAUUUGCGUAUAGGGGCGAAAGACUAAUCGAACCAUUGGUAAAUCACUACUAGGUGGUUAAGAGUCGCGUGUGAAAAGCACCGGCUAGUCGCGAGUCCGCGGCAAGGUCGUCAAAUUGCGGGAACACCCUAAAGCCUGAGGUACCGCCGACUGUCCCGAAAGGGCGUUGAGGCACCACGGAGAGAUUUCGUGGGUAUGGUAACAAUCCAAGGGAUGGCCUAGGUUAAACCCUAGGCCGCUGUAAUGGGCAAUCCGCAGCCAAGCCUGUCCCUCCCGUCCGGGGAGGGAUUGGGUGCAGUUCAUCGACUAGAUGUCGACCGGGUUCUGGGCCUCUCGCGAAGCCCUGGAGCCUCAAGAUAUAGUCAGGCCCUCGGGGAGACCCGAGCGGAGGAACAAAGUAAAGGGGGUCGGACUCUUCCACAGAAGCCCGCUUUACCCGAGUCCCUCCCGGCCGGUCGUCAUGAGAGACCG